GCAGCAUUCAGCAUUGAGCACUGACUGCCUCAAACCAAACACGAUCGAGCAAAUCAAAGACCAUACACACAUCUCACAUCAGCACGAGAAAUGGUCGACGACAGGCAGAAAAACUCGAAGAACUCCUCCAAGGGGAUAUCUAGUGUCGUUCCUGCCCUGAAAGGACCUCAAGCGCGUACGGCGCCAUACACAGCAGCUGAUCAUCAGGCUCAUGAACAAAAAAAGGCACCCUCUGCCUCUGCAGCUGGUAAGUAGUAAGAAAAUUUUUUGCCACCUUUUUAUAAGGAAAAUCAAAUAACCGUGGCAAACUGGCGCGAGCGAUCGAUUUCAAUCGACGUACGUGCAUGUCUUUUCGCAUGCAUGCAUGGGCGUGGGUUGUGCGUUUCCAUUUCUUUUUUGCAUCUUUCUUUGUCCGAACUUUUACUCUUUUUGCGUGCGUCUGGAGAUUCUGGUUGAAUCUGCUUUCUGCUACCCUUUUUGCCUUUUUGAACGUUCCACCCGCAUGCUGACUACAAACUACAAGUGUGAGUGAUCUCGUUCCCUUUCAGCUGGAAACUGUCACCCCGUGCGAGACACUCAGUUUGGUCCACGAAUCUGACCGCCUUUUGUACCGGUGGCCUGUGAGCCGGCCGGUUGAUUUCUGGUGCACAGUCCAGUUCCUAGUUGCCUUCCAAAUCACUUUAGGUUCUGGAAUAAAAAUGAUGGUGGGACUCCAAUAGAAUUUUUUUUUUUU